CCCCUGGGUCACACAGAGCACAUGGAUGCAAAAAGCACACAACUUAUUUUCACUGCAGGGAGAACAUAGAAAUGAUCCCCAGGUCUGCAAAUGGAAGGAGCCGGUCCCAUAACAUCUAAGGACACCAGGCUGUCUUACUAAGAUACAGGGCUGAAAACAAAGACAUACAAACCUUGAGCCAUUUAGAAGAGGAAGAAGCCAAAAUCUGUGCCAGAGGUUUGACUGCUGGGUUUACUGAUGGCUUCAGAUCACUGUGAAUCACACGGCACAGAAGUUCAUCUGGUGAUUUGAGAAUUAGCUGCCGUGAUACCAAGCAUGGCUGACCAGAAAUGGAGAUAAGAGGCUGUCGAUUCUAUUCCUCCCUUCAGGCACACAGAAAGCCUGUGAUGAAUGUUUUAGGUUCAGUAACUGUGGCCCAGGGGCCACCAUUUUGAGGGAAGCUCCAAGGCUAGGGCUUAACCCUCAGUCCGGCUGUUGCUUGCCCCAUAAAUACCACAGACCAAUAAAAAUAUCACACAGCAAUUCAUUAAAAACUUCCCAUGAAAGAAAUGUUCUUAACAACAACGAGAAAUCCCCUUUUGGAACUUGCAACACAAAUGUUACUCUGUUAGCACACAAAAUUCAGAGUAAACCUGACUAGAAACUGAAGUUAAAGCCAGACGUCUGCUUCCAUUGUCCAUCAGAGAAAAAUGCCAAGGAACAAGGAAACAGCAGAAUGUGAAAAGCAAAUUGGAUUUUAAAAAGCCUUGCAAGGAUAAGCUUCAGAGGGAUCCUCUAUAAAUCUGACUGCACAAUGUUUAGCAUGCCAGCAUCCAUUCAGGUUAAUUAGACUGGAGUACUGUGCCACAAGCUGUGUGCAUAACCUAAAAUAACAACAAAUAUGUGAGUGGUACCCACAUGUCAUAGGAGAAAAAAUACAAGUGUGGGUGUGAUAGGGCUAGUAGGGUUUGCACCUUCACAGAAAAUAAGGAUGA